GACGAACGCUGGCGGCGCGCUUAACACAUGCAAGUCGAACGUGAAGCGGGAGCUUGCUCCCGUGGAAAGUGGCGAACGGGUGCGUAACACGUGAGCAACCUGCCCCGAAGACUGGGAUAACACCGGGAAACCGGUGCUAAUACCGGAUACCUUCUUCCGAUCGCAUGGUUGGAUGAAGAAAUGGAUUCCGCUUCGGGAUGGGCUCGCGGCCUAUCAGCUUGUUGGUGAGGUAACGGCCCACCAAGGCGACGACGGGUAGCUGGUCUGAGAGGACGACCAGCCACACUGGGACUGAGACACGGCCCAGACUCCUACGGGAGGCUG
rnacentral:rRNA from 1 species